UGGUUCUGGUUCUGGAGAGGUAGAGCAGACCAGAGCCAGAAGAUCUGAGAGUUAAAGGAGGCUGACAUGUGAGGAUGCUGUUGCAGGAAUCAAUGCUACUAAAGGAACUGACGAUCUGACCCUUUUCAUGGUCAAGCUUUGACCAUGACAUCUGCUGUGCUCGUCCUGAGCAUCACACAAAGACCAUGAGAAGGUUAAAAAAACGGCGCCUUAUGGGAUGAACACAUAUGCCCACCACUUUUCAGAUUUGUACAAAAACUAUGGAAAACUAUAAAUAAUUGUCCUUCCAUUUAUAGUUUGCGCUACCUUGUGUUAAUUUGGGAUGGGAUUACCUAAAAUCCCAACAAAAACACCUUAGAGUUUGUGGUUAUAAUGUAACAAACUGUGAAAAAGUUUAAGCGGUACUGAUUCUUUUGGAAGACAUGUGGAACCUUGUUUGUGUACGCGGUUUUGUUUCCAGUGUAGUUUCGGACCAGUUUUUAUAGGUUUUGAAACAGUAACAAAGUUUUUCUCAAUGGCAAGAAUUUGCAUUGAUUAUAUGUGCAAUAAAAAAAAUUUUAGCUCUUGUUUCCA